rnacentral:rRNA from 1 species
UACAGAGGGGGCAAGCGUUAUUCGGAAUUAUUGGGCGUAAAGGGCGCGUAGGCGGCAUGGCAAGUGGAUGGUGAAAUCCCUCGGCUUAACCGAGGAACUGCCGUCCAAACUGCUUCGCUUGAGACCGGGAGAGGUGAGUGGAAUUCCCAGUGUAGCGGUGAAAUUCGUAGAUAUUCGCAAGAACACCAGUGGCGAAGGCGGCUCACUGGCCCGAUACUGACGCUGAGGCACGAAAGCGUGGGGAGCAAACAGGG